UACAGAGGGUGCAAGCGUUGCUCGGAAUCAUUGGGCGUAAAGGGUUGGUAGGUGGUCUCAUUUGUCGGGGGUGAAAGCCUUGGGCUUAACCCAAGAAGUGCCUUCGAAACGGUGAGACUAGAGUUCUGGAGAGGCUAGGGGAAUUCCCGGUGUAGCGGUGAAAUGCGUAGAGAUCGGGAGGAACACCAGAGGCGAAGGCGCCUAGCUGGACAGAUACUGACACUCAACAACGAAAGCGUGGGGAGCAAACAGG
rnacentral:rRNA from 1 species